CAGGGUGAACAGUGGCAGUGAGUUGCAAGCAGCAGCAGAGACAGUGGGCAGAGGCAGAAAAAGAGGCAUUGUUCGCUCCUCCUCUCCUUUUCAGGCAUGGCAGGUGAACGCACCCCUGAAUUCUGAGACUUUGAUGACUUUGGACAAUCAACUGGCCUGGUCCAAUACCCACUGAGAUUCCCAGAGGAAAGGCUCUAAAUCUCCUCUGUACCACCAUGAAUUUAAUGUGACAAUUACACAGAAUGUAAGAUGUGAGACAAACCACCAAAUAUUGAAAGCUUCUCCUAUGAAAGAUGUUUUACUGCAAUACUACUCAUGAUCCAGGCUGGAUUCAAACUACAUCCCUUGAGAUAUAAUGUUCCCCAGGAGAGAUACUUCUGAGAAAGAGGACACCACAGUGCAGCAGUUGCCAUGUGUUAUGAGCCUAUUCAUGAGAAAAUGGGGAAAUGUGAAAUAGUUGUUUCAAUCCUGACCCACCUCUAGCGUCCCAUCUGAAAAUAAGUGUGCUUUAAAAAUAGCCCUGGUGCUCACACUGUGAGCACUUCUCUUUAGCUGUACACUAUUAUGCAUUAUGCUGUGCAAAAGAUGAUUAAAGCAAAAGUAGCAAGUAUCUCCACACUUUUGUGCACUAGCAAGGACAUGAAGCAACCACAUCUAGGGUAGCUUAGUCUCCAUAUUUACAUUCAUUCACUCUUUGGUCUCUGAGACUGCCUCCAAGAACUCACUCAAGUAGCCAAAAAGAAGAUGCAAUGUUAUUGGCAACAAACUAAUUAGAAGAGUUUAGAUAUGUGCUGCUGUAGCAGUAGCUGUCAAACCCCAGUCUGGCCUGCCUACCAAGAGUUACAGUGCCUUUCUACCUACUUUGCCUCUGACCCUCACUUUGUAUUUAACACCCCCCUCCAAAAAAAAGAAGGGAGCUGUCAGGUCAUUUAUAGCACAAAGAGGACUCUAUUUAAAAAAUCCUUUAAAACAACACUAGAAGGGGUUGUCCCUGAGAGUCCUACCGAUGCCCCGAGAGCACCCUAGUGAGCUUCCUCUCAAAUAUUAUCUCACAGUGGGAGCCAUGCCAGCUGUGAAAAGGAUAUUUCUUCAGCUGCUGUGGGACAGCUACGGCUCAGGCCUCCCUUACUCUGUUGACUGCAAAACUGCCCUGGGACAUCUCGCUUUUCUGCUUGGGUGGCCCCUCCCUGAAGCCAAGCAGGGAAAGAAGAGAGCCACAUGCAGAGUUCACCUUGCUACCCUUUUUCUUUCCAGACUGUUUUCCAAUUCUGGGGAUUACGGGGAAAAAUCCCCUUGUCCAGGAAGGGAAAGGAGGUGCGAUGUGGGUAAUGAGGCCAUCCCAAAUUCAUGCCAAUAAAACCUUCAUACUUCACUCUUGUGUUUUCCUUUUCUCAGGUUGCUCCCUUCCCACCAGUGGGGUGAUGUCCAAAUCACUCAUUAAUCUAUUACAUGGUUUCCAAUUUGACAUGCACCUUUGAUCACUUUGAAUCCCUAUUUCUGCCCUAUAAAUUCCAUUAGCAACAGAAAUUGCUCU